UGGCCCAUUUCAGUGGUCUCCAUCCACAGUGAGGAGAUCCGGUGGCCCGUCUCCUGCGCUCCACUCCACCACCACCACCAUCUUUGAGAUAAAACACUGGCUUUAGGUUCUUAGAGCAGCAGCGGCGGCAGUAGUAGUGGGCUGGCGCUGCAGUUGCGCUGGCACACAUUCAACGUGGGCGCACACACGGUGAGAGAGAGAGACAGCCAGAGAGAGAGAGAGAGAUCCGCCGCCGCAUCUUGUGGAUUUCUUUGCGCUCCAGCCCGUGUUCAUGAUUCUCCCUGCUUCUCCUCGCCCACAAACACGCCAGGAGUUGAUUUCUCUUCUCGGGGAAAAAUGUGGAGUCGCAGAGUUGCGGCGGUCCUGGUUUUACUUCGUCUCAUCGGGGACUCGCUGGCAGGGUUUCCAAACCAAAUCAACAUCGGUGGACUGUUCAUGCGCUCCACGGUGCAGGAGCACAGCGCCUUUAGGUUUGCUGUCCAGCUCUACAACACCAACCAGAAUGUGACAGAAAAACCUUUUCACCUCAAUUAUAAUGUUGACAACUUGGAGUCGUCGAACAGUUUCUCUGUCACACAUGCCUUCUGCUCCCAGUUCUCCCGGGGAGUCUAUGCCAUCUUCGGCUUCUACGACCGCAAGUCCAUGAACACGCUGACCUCCUUCUGCGGCGCCCUGCACACUUCCUUCAUCACGCCCAGCUUCCCCAUCGACGCCGACGUGCAGUUUGUCAUCCAGAUGAGGCCCAGUUUGAGGGGAGCCAUUCUCAGCCUGCUGGACCAUUACAAGUGGGAGAGGUUCGUCUAUCUUUACGACACCGACAGAGGCUUUGCAAUCCUCCAGGCCAUAAUGGAGUCGGCGGUAGCCAAUAACUGGCAGGUGACGGCUCGCUCUGUUGGGAACGUGAACGUCUCAACGUACACACAAAUCAUCAGGGAGAUGGACAACCGGCAGGAGAAACGUUUUCUCAUCGACUGUGAGGUGGAUAGGAUCGACUUAAUACUCCAGGAGGUGGUGGCCUUAGGGAAGAACACCAGGGGAUACCACUAUAUCGUAGCCAACCUGGGGAUCUCCAACACGAGUCUGGACAAGGUCUUUUCUGGUGGGGCCAACAUCACAAGCUUCCAAAUCAUCAACCCAGACAGCCCCAUCGUGCAGCAGUUCCUCCAGCGCUGGGAGCGCUUGGAUGAAAGAGAAUUUCCAGAAGCCAAAAACACUCCACUGAAGUACACAUCAGCGCUGACCCACGAUGCCAUCCUGGUGAUCGCGGAGGCCUUCCGGUAUCUUCGGCGCCAGCGAGUAGACGUGUCACGCAGAGGAAGUGCAGGUGACUGCCUCGCCAACCCCGCUGUGCCUUGGAGCCAGGGCAUCGACAUAGAGAGGGCACUCAAAAUGGUUCAAGUACCAGGUAUGACAGGAAACAUCCAGUUUGACACAUUUGGGCGACGGUCUAAUUACACAAUUGAUGUGUACGAGAUGAAGCCCAAAGGUCCCAGGAGGAUCGGCUACUGGAAUGAGUACGAAAAAUUUGUAUAUAUUAUGGAUCAGCAGGUCACCAACGAAUCCUCUUCUGUGGAAAACCGAACAAUUGUGGUCACUACUAUUAUGGAAGCGCCGUAUGUGAUGUACAAGAAAAACUAUAUGCAGAUGGACGGCAAUGACAGAUAUGAAGGCUACUGUGUCGAUUUAGCUUCUGAAAUUGCAAAGCAUGUGGGGAUAAAAUAUAAGCUGUCGAUAGUGCCAGAUGGAAAAUACGGAGCCAGAGACCCGGACACCAAGACAUGGAACGGGAUGGUGGGUGAACUGGUUUAUGGGAGAGCUGACAUAGCCGUGGCUCCUCUCACCAUUACGUUGGUACGGGAGGAGGUGAUAGACUUCUCUAAACCCUUCAUGAGCUUGGGAAUCUCUAUUAUGAUUAAGAAGCCUCAAAAGUCCAAGCCAGGAGUGUUUUCCUUCCUGGACCCGCUGGCCUAUGAGAUUUGGAUGUGCAUAGUGUUUGCCUAUAUUGGCGUGAGCGUGGUACUCUUCCUGGUGAGCCGUUUCAGCCCCUAUGAGUGGCACUUGGAUGAGAACGAUGAGGCCAAAGACCCUCAGAGCCCCCCUGACCCUCCAAACGACUUUGGGAUUUUUAAUAGCCUGUGGUUCUCCCUGGGCGCCUUCAUGCAGCAAGGAUGCGAUAUCUCACCAAGGUCUCUGUCGGGCCGUAUUGUCGGGGGAGUGUGGUGGUUCUUCACCCUCAUCAUCAUCUCUUCCUACACGGCCAACCUGGCUGCCUUUCUCACCGUGGAGAGGAUGGUCUCUCCCAUCGAGAGUGCAGAGGAUCUGGCCAAGCAGACGGAAAUCGCCUACGGCACGCUAGACUCCGGCUCAACUAAGGAGUUCUUUAGGCGCUCCAAAAUAGCCGUUUAUGAGAAAAUGUGGUCGUACAUGAAAUCGGCCGAACCCACCGUGUUUGUCAAGACGACACCGGACGGGGUCUCCCGGGUCCGGAAGUCGAAGGGCAAGUUUGCCUUUCUGCUCGAAUCCACAAUGAACGAGUACAUAGAGCAGCGGAAGCCCUGCGACACCAUGAAAGUGGGCGGCAACCUCGACUCUAAGGGCUACGGUGUGGCCACACCUAAAAGCUCAGCAUUAAGCUGCCCAACUUUUUUUGAACACAGAAAAGGCCAUUGUUGCCCUGACAAAACCAAAGAGACACUUGAUAGCAAGUAAGUGGCCAGGAGGUAUUUAAUAGUCACACUGACAUAUGAUGGAUUGUCAGAGUAACAAACAUUUUUUAUGCAUUUUCAAUUAUCAUAAAAUAUCUAGCUUGCAUACAAGCAAUCCGACUUUUACCAUAUAAAAGCAGAUUUAACUGGUUUUGGAACCGUUCCAUUGGGUUUUAAUGCAAAUGGUAACACUUGCAGAAAUGAAUUUCAAUCUUACUGUUUGGCUUUUAAUAGCAGCAAAAUGGUUCAGUUCCCCUUUUUUACAGCUUGCUACUCUGACUGUACAGAUGCAGUAUUGUCAAGGUUGAGUUCAGCAGCUAUGGUAGUAAAUUGAAGCUAAUCUGUAGACCUGUACGACCACGACCGCCUUCCUCUGUGUGGCCUCGUAAAGAGACCACAAAGCAGGAUAGUCGACAAGUCUCUCUACAUUCACCUUCUCAGGGAUUUCUUUGUAGAUUGAUUAAGAGGAGGAGGUCUGUAUAUGAACUGUUUUUAGUCAGAUUAGGCAGUUAUACUUCAGGAUGUCUAUACACACAUUUAGCGACCUCCUCAGAGUAAUUGCUAGAGAUAGAGUAGCAGUGUUCAUGUAGGUUUUGUGCCUCUCAGUGUCCGUUUAAAACCCCUUAAUGGUGGUCUGUACCUCUCCCAGGACAAGACAAGUGCAUUGAGCCUGAGCAACGUGGCAGGCGUCUUCUAUAUUCUGGUCGGGGGGCUCGGCUUGGCUAUGACCGUUGCUUUGAUAGAGUUCUGCUAUAAGUCACGGCAGGAAACAAAAAAGCUCAAGCUGGCGAAGAACGCCCAAAACUUUAAGCCAGCCCCUCCAGCAAACGCCCAGAAUUUUGCCACAUACCGUGAAGGCUACAACGUCUACGGCACGGAGAGUGUGAAAAUCUAAAGGGUGAUUCUUAAACCCCACUGGUGCAUUAAGGAUAGAAAGAGCCACUCCGACACAUGACACGUGACCCCGACAACCCUCCACCCCUCGAAGGUGGGCAUCCUGGAAGUGACGCUUUCCUCGUCAUCAGCUUGGACUCAAGCCAAUAAGUCAACACGUGCUCAUUUGGGGUUAUGAGCUGUCACACUAACAGAGGGCAAUCACACACAUCUGGACUUCUGAUUGCGGGAACAUGGGAAUUGCCUCUUGUAGUGCCUUAAGGAGCAUUUUUGGCGUCAUGGCAAUGCAGAUAAAAUUAAAUUAACUUGAUAAACACAGAACAAAAAACAAAAAAAAAGAAAUCCAUGGAAACGGCAGCGAUCGGAUAAGAAACGGCUUCAUGUAGAUGGACUGAUGUAAUUACUGUUUUAUAUUUUGAAGACGACACACACACAAAAAAAGCCAUGGUUUGCAAUGAAAUCCCUGAGGUACUUAAGUAAUUUAAAUCCUUUAAAGAGAUAUUUUUGUGGUGAAACCUUAAGUUGGAUAAAUGUUAUGUUUAGUGAGGUAAAGUCCUUUUCUUGUGUUAUUAUAAGGAUAUUUCCAGUGUCAGAACAUUUAGGACAAGCAUCAGUAACAUAAAUAAGGUUAAGGAUCAGUUGAACUGGCAGCAUUUUCUACCAGUUUUUUUUUUUUUUUUUUUUUUUUUUGAUACUCCAAUUUCAACACGUCAUGCUUGUGUACAUCUGAAACAGCUGGGAUGGUGUUUGUUUCAUAGCCUACCGGACAUUCAACCUACUCUGUAUUUACUUGGAUGCUUGUUUUAAAUCAAGUACGUCAUUUGUUUAAAACUGCCAGUUUUGGAAAGAAAAAAAAAAAGGGGGAGACAUU